GCUUAGAUGUACUUUUCCUACACGGUUAGACUCAAAAUUAAAUGAUAGUUCAGCUUCAACUAUCACAGCGUACUUGCAAAAAAAUAAAAUUUAAUGGAGGAAUCUUACACACUGAGAGCAGUUAAAAAAACAUUCUGAUACAGUUUAAACCUUUCCUUGACUGGCUCUCGGUGGGCCUCUUUGUUUCCUGUACCUGUGGUAGGUGGACUUGUACACGCAGAAAAGAAAAUAACUUGCAUUCACAUCCUUCUUUCCAGCGAAACUGACAGGAAACAAUGAACAAGAGAACAGCUCUAACAAUUCUAUGCUGUUCCAUGUUCUGUGAGGCUUUUGGAGCAGAUCAAAAUGAGAUUCUAGUGAAACCAGGGGACACAGUCACCCUUGGCUGUGACAUUACCCUGGAGUACGAGAUCAUGUGGUUUGUUCUUCGUCCUGAUGCCACUCUUUCAGUAGCCACCACUAUAAAGACAAAUACACCCCUGAGCCUCAACAAAAAGUUUGAUGACCGUUUCGAGUCAGUGUAUGACACAGGCCUGUUCAGAAGCAAUCUGAGCAUACUGAACAUCUCAGAAAGUGACGUGGGUCUGUACUACUGUGUUGAGCAGAGGGCUAACAUAUUUGAGAUCGGAAGUGGGACCAAGCUCUCCCUUAUCAGUGAUGAUCAGCUCUCUACUACUGUUGUUGGGAUGAAGUUGUCAUGGUUUAUCAYCUUGAUCAURGCCCCCAUGCUCUCUGUACUGGGGUCUGCUCUCUGUGUCUUCUGCUGUUGACGACCUGUUAAGAAAUMAUUUGCACCCAAUAAUUCAAAUUUCCACAUUGAA